UCUCACUCUGUCACUCAGACUGGAGUACAGUGGUACAAUCAUAGCUGCAACCUCAAACUCCUGGGCUCAAGUGAUCCUCCUGCCACAGCCUCCCAGCUACAGGCGUAGACUGCCUCAUGGUCUUGAAGACUCUUCUUGACUUCUCCAGCUAUCUCCCCUUUCAUCCUUCACAGACCUCCCCCCAUGAACUUCUUGUACGUUUAAACUAAUCUUAACAAUUACUUUUUAGAUAAUUCAAACUAAGUGAGCUAUUAUACCACCAUUCAGAGAGGACUUGCACUUUCAUUUAGUGUGUAUCUGUGGGUGCUGGGGCCAGCUCACAAUGGCUUGCCAGAACAAAUUAUGUGUAUCUCUUUCCACAUCUAGUAGCUUCCCAGACUUUACAUUAGUAGCUUGAAAUUGUCCAUGGUAAGAAUAUUUACAAAUGCAAUUUUUUUCUCUCCGGGUAAGCCAUUGGUUAAACAUUUACCAACAUACCACGUGUGUAGAUAUUUUAUGUAUGUGAAAUAAUAUACCAUUUGUUAAGCUAUUUAUUCCAAUUUUAAAUGUAUGGUGAAUAGUUUUCCUAUGUCAAUAAAUAUUCUGCCACUAAAU
rnacentral:lncRNA from 1 species